UACGUAGGGGGCAAGCGUUGUCCGGAUUUAUUGGGCGUAAAGAGCGUGUAGGCGUCUAGGUAGGUCCGUUGUGAAAACUCGAGGCUCAACCUCGAGACGCCGGUGGAAACCAUCUAGCUAGAGUCCGGAAGAGGAGAGUGGAAUUCCUGGUGUAGCGGUGAAAUGCGCAGAUAUCAGGAAGAACACCCGUGGCGAAGGCGGCUCUCUGGGACGUGACUGACGCUGAGACGCGAAAGCGUGGGGAGCGAACAGG
rnacentral:rRNA from 1 species